CAGCAGCCACGGGAAUACAGAGGGUGCAAGCGUUAAUCGGAAUUACUGGGCGAAAAGCGCGCGUAGGUGGUUCGCCAAGUUGGAUGUGAAAUCCCCGGGCUCAACCUGGGAACUGCAUCCAAAACUGGCGAGCUAGAGUAUGGUAGAGGGUGGUGGAAUUUCCUGUGUAGCGGUGAAAUGCGUAGAUAUAGGAAGGAACAUCAGUGGCGAAGGCGACCACCUGGACUGAUACUGACACUGAGGUGCGAAAGCGUGGGGAGCAAACAGGAUUAGAUACCCGGGUAGUCCCUGUCUCUUAUAU
rnacentral:rRNA from 1 species